AUGAGAGGAGCUAUUUUGAAUUAUCCAGCCCUCACGUCGUUUCUGUGUAAAUGGGCUAGAUCUUGUUCAGUAAAACACCCUGAGACUCUGAAAGCCAUGCUAAAAUUGAUGACAGACACAGGCAUUUAUUCACAAAAAAUUAAAAAAAAAAUGAUCAUAUUCAGCCAAAACCGAGGCCAAAACUGAGAUAUGAACACAGUUUGGAGCUAGUAAUAACGCACUUAACGUCUCUCCUUGUCAUCCUCGAUGGUGGAUGACAGUGCCGCUUAUAAACUUUUACAUCUGAUAUUUGGUCCCAUAUUUCCUACCAGCAGGGAGACAACAUUUUUAUCGACCUAAAAAGUAAAAAUAUUAGUUAUAAAUGAAUUGAAGAUCAUAAAAAAAUGAAAAUAAAAUUUUUCUGUUUCCUAAGGAGUGAAAAAAAAUCUUGACGUUUCAAUUUGUCAACAUAGAAAAUUUAAUUAUCAAAAAGCUUACUUUGAUUCGACCAUAAUAGAAUUUAUAGUGUCGGCAAGACUUGUCAUAAGGGGGUGAUUCACAGUUUAUGGCAAACUAGCGUAAAAAGCUGGAUAUUUGAUAUAAGGAAGAUAUUCGGAGUCCAAAAAUGGCGACCACAACUUCCAAGAGGGCGAUCUAAAAUCCAAAAUGGCGACUCCAAAUUCAAGACGGUGGCUGUUUAAAGCAGUUUUAGACCCUAACUGCAUGUAAUAUGGGUAUAUUUUGUAUUUUGUAUAGGAAAGAUGUCUGGAGUCAAAAAUAGCGACCACAAUAUGCAAAAUGGUGGCCCAAACUCCAAGAUGACGGCUCCAAAUUCAAGAUGGUGGAUGUUUAAUGGCGUUUUAAGCUCUAAAUCCGUGACAUAUGGGUUUAUUUGAUAUAGGGACGAAUUGUGGACUCCAAAAAAUGGUGACCAGAUGGUGGCUGUUCAAUGGAGUUCUGGGCUCUAAAUCCAUGCAAUAUGGGUACUCUUCGAUAUAACGUACAAAAAAGUUUUCUCUUUGUACGUUAUAUCGAAGUGUACGUUAUAUCGAAGCAGAGAAAACUAAUAUUUUUAUGCUAAUAUUGAUGAUUACGACGUGAAAUUAACCCCAAAUAAUGAUUUCGGUGAAAUUCACAAAACCAAUAAUGAAAACCAUGAGUUUUGACGAAAAAGUAAUUUUGUUUUUUGUGCUUCGAUAUAACGUACAUUUUGCUUCGAUAUAACGUACACUAAAUUUUUCCCCAAUUUGCGCUAAAUCUAGGUAAUAAGAUUAAUACUGCAAGAUAACAUUGAUUUAAGUGAUUUCGUAGCUUAUCUGAGGGUUAUUCCUGGGAAAAAUUAAAAAUUUCAAUGUUGUACGUUAUAUCGAAGCAAAAUGUACGUUAUAUCGAAUUCGCUAUAUCGAGGGUACGCUAUAUCGAGGGUACGUUAUAUCGAAGAAUACCUGUAUCUGGUAUGGAGAAGAAAUGUGGAGUCUAAAAAUAAAGACCAGAAUAGUCAAGAUGGCUGACUCAAAUCCAAAAUUGCGGCUCAAAGUUCAAGAUAGCGGCUUUUUGUUAUGGUGAAAUAGGAGAGCGUCCAGGUGCAUUUUUGACUCGCAUUUUUGAGAGCACCGAUCUCGUCUUCCACAAAACGCCCGAAAACGAAAAUGCUACUCAAUGUUUAUCACGAGUGAGCAAGGCUACUCAUUGCUUUUUCAGCUCUAUUUGUUGUUUAGAUGAUGAGAUCCGUACUUUCGGUAUUUAGUAAGGCAGCCAUUGCCAUCUUUGGAUUCGCUCAUAUAUGUCCUUAAGACAUAUAGGCGCAAACAUCAAAGCUACAUAAACGAUAUGAUUUCUGGUGCCAUGUAAUGGAUUUUUGUUUAACGUAUGAAAGUGCGAUAUUCAUCUAUGUACAUGUCACUUGAGUUUUGUUGAAAUGUGUUUUCGAAGGCACGAGGAAGGCGCCAUCACCGCUAGGUGGAUUAAUUAGGGUUUUUUAAUGAAAUUUGUUCCAAAUGUUACGCCUGUUUCUCUGUGCCUCUGAUUUACAUACGCUCAAACCUUUCACACAAAAUAGAUAAAAAAUGUAAUUUAGGUACAAGAAACCAAUUCAGUAACAAAUUUUGAAAACGACGUAUAACACUAGUUUACAGCAUUUUUGAACUCGGUAAGUUGAUGAUCGUUUUUGGUGUAGAAUCAUGCCCUGAAUUCGAAAACGCGAAGGAAAAAAAUUACAAUAGAGCGGAAAUUUUUUCGACUUUCCAUACAAGGUUGAUGAUUUGAAAUCGAUUUUUGUUCUAUUUUUUAGCAAUGUCGCUCACUUCACACAUCUUAGUCUCCGUAAUCAAUGCUCCGAUUUAGCUAAUUUUUUACUGUAAUUCGCCUACAUAUGAUAUGUCAAAUAAACGUUGAGAAAGAAUUUUUAAAUUGUUUUUUUCUCAUUGAAAAAAAUACAUUUCUUCAUAUAUUUUUGGAAAUUUUGCUAAAAUUUAAGGAGAUCGUCCCCAAAACUCGCAAAUAUCUUGAAUUUCAUCAAUCUGACGCAAAACCUGUAUUCAGAUGAUCGAAUGGUAUUUUAUUCAGCUUUUAAUUUAUGGGAAAAGAUUUAAAAUUGGUUGAACAAAACGCAAGAUAUUCGAAUUUUAUUAAAUUCUAUAUUUUAAAAAGUUGUAAAACUCGAUAUUGAGCUAAUACUCAAAAACUGUUCUACUUUAAAUUUUUUGAAGCACGGAUUCGAAAUCAGCGCCAAAUUAUGCUUCAAAAAUUUUGAUCGUUGACAGUAGUUCACGACUUUCGUUUUAUUUUGUAAACUAGUGUAAUCAAUGCUACACCGCACCAUUGAUUAUACGUCGUUUUCAAAAUUUGUUACUGCAUUAUUCUGUAUUGACGUUUUUGAUGAUUUUAAAUUGCACUUCACUAAAAAUUUUUUUUUAAAUUUUGGUCACGCCGAUUACGCCGCCGCCGCCGCCGCCGAAUAGGACGUACGGCGUGACGCCGGCGUCGCCGCCGCCGCUGCCUCAAAUUACUAUACACGCCGCCGCCGGUGAAAACUGCUUCGGCGCACACGUCUACAGCGGGCUGCUCGGCUGACGUUAAAUGUUGGUGAUUUACAUUUUUCUGCUGCAAAUUUCAGUUGAUCUUCAAUUUACGUGCUGUUUAACUUUCAUAUUUUUUUGCUGUGUAAUCUGCACAUCGUUCAAACUAAAAAUGGUUCAAACGUCAUUCUGCUCAUGGAACGGAGUGAAACGGAAUGCAGAAUCAAAACAAAACAGCAAAAAGGGUUACCAUCAGUGUGUUUUUCGAUACCUACAGGGUUACUAGAAGUUCAAACUAAAAAAUGAACCCCGUUGGUUUGCAUGAAAUGUUGUUCAAACCAACGGGGGUAGACGGUACACUUCAAUUAAUAUUUCCAUGUUUAUUGGCAUGCAGUCAAAAAAGCCCAAAAUCGUAUAUUUUACCCCAUAAAUGAAGCUGUAGCUCAAAAUUGUGACGUGUUGGACUAAAUCUGAGCCCGGAUACGGAUUCAGCGGCCCAAAAUCUGUCAGAGACACAUAAGUUUGCUCUUGAGACAGACCAAUAGUUAAUUUUUGUUUCAUACUGCAACCACUCUUUUUGCAGUUGUUCACAAGUGUUAAGAGUUAUCUUUGACUACAUUUCAUCAAAAAAAAAAAAAACAAAAAAAAAAACAUGGAUACCUACACUGAUGGGCUGAUGAAGAUACGUUCAGGCGUACGCUUAUUUUUCAACGCGUAAACAAAUAAUUCCUUUGGUUGCUUUGUACAGCUGUACCGCUGCGCAAAAUGAGCAGCUCAGAGUUACUCAAAAUCAACCUUGAGAGCAGGGGAGCGGACCUGGUGUGAUGGUUAGAACACUUGACCAUAACCAUUGGCGGAGCCAGUUUUUUCUUUUUUCUUACUCACUCUCCUAAACAUACACGAGAAAGAGCGGGAUGGAAGAGGAGGCAAGCUGCCCCCUCUUCUAUCUUUCUCUUUCUCGUGCAUGUUUAGGAGAGUGAUUAAGAGAAAAGAAAGUGGUGGCUCCGCCAAUGACCAUAACGCCGAGGACCUGGGAUCGAAUCCCACUCCCGACAAACUCGCAAAAUGUGAGUUUUUCCUUCGGAAGGGAAGUAAAGCGUGGGUCCCGAGAUGAACUAGCCUAGGGCUAAAAAUCUCGUUAAUACCGAUUAAAAAAAAAACCUUGAGAGCAAGAACUGUUUCCCGUUAAAUUAAACUGAAAAUAAUAGCACUAGUUUACAAAAUAAAACGAAAGUCGUGAACUUCUGUCAACGACCAAUAUUUUUGAAGCACAAUUUAGUGCUGAUUUCGAAAUCGAACUUCAAAAAAUUUGAAGUAGAACAGUUUUUGAGUUUUACCUCAAUAUCGAGUUUUACAACAUUUCAAAAUAUGUAAUUUACUAAAAUCCAAAAUAUAUUGCGUUUUGUUCAACCAAGUUUAAAUCUUUUUCCUUUAAUUUGAAGCUGAAUACAAUACCAUUUGAUCAUCUGAAUACAGUAUUUGCGUCAGAUUGAUGAAAUUCAGGAUAUUGACUUGUUUUAGGGACGAUCUCCUUAAAUUUUAGCAAAAUUCCCAAAAAAAAUUGAAGAAAUGUAUUUUUCUCAAUAAGAAAAAAACAAUUGAAAAAUUCUUUUUCGACGUUUAUUUGACGUAUCAUAUGUAGGCGAGUUACAGUAAAAAUUUCAGCUCAAUCGGAGCAUUGAUUACGGAGAAUGAGAUGUUUGAAGUGAGCGACUUUACUUAAAAAUAGAACAAAAAUCGAUUUCGAACCAUGAACCUUGUAUGGAAAGUCGAAAAAAUUUCCGCUCUACUGUAAUUUUUUUCUUUCGCGUUUUCGAACUCAGGGCAUGAUUCUGUACCAAAAAUGAUCAUCAGCUUACCGAGUUCAAAAAUGCUGUAAACUGGUGUAGCCUAUGUUUGGAAGAAGGAUAAAUUAAUGAAAAAGUUGAUCCUUAUUGCUGUUGGAAAUCGACUGUAAUCUUGACUCUAUAGAUUAUCGGCUACGCAGUCUUAGAGUUCAAAAAACAAGCUUUGUCAUUGACCCGACGUUUCGACACGGGGAUAGUGUCUUCCUCAGGGGGAGAAUAAAUAUUAACGUUUUUGGUCAAAUGUUUUGUCUAACUUUAGCUGUCUCGUUUUGUGACGUUUUUGGUACAAGCUUACACUUCGAAAUCACUUAAACAGUUUAAAGGUUUUGUGGCAAAACUUGUAAUAGAAGAAAAAAAAUUAAUUGAUAAUAUUGUUUACAUAUCGAUUGUAUCGUAGAUGUUGCUAAGAUAUUCAAAACUAAAGGUGUGGCUAUAGAAAGUGAUCGUAUCGAAUGGAAGAACUCGUUGAAAAAAAUGUGAAGGAAAGCAUACGGAUCUUCUAUGAUAUCCAAAAUCUGCCCCCUUAUGUUACCCCACCUAGGUGCAUCGCAUGAAUUCUGAACUUGUAGGAUGUGGUGUUCCUACUCUGGUGCUGGCGCGAGGCAUCCGAGCGAACAGAUCCGGAAGAAUUUCUGCGCCUUACGUUUCAGUUUUAGUGGAUGAAAAACGAAGGCACUACCUAUCCCACAUUUGCAACGUCGGAACACGGCCAGUGCAGUAGAAGCUUCUCGUCCAACUUUUAACAUGGUUUAAACGGUGUAACUCGCUGCUUGCUGACGCGUGGGUGUAUGUUGAAGAGGUAAGGCGCCCAAACACAUCGUGUUAGUUGCCGAGAUUUUCCCAGACCGUGUUUCCGGCCGGUACUUUAUGAAGGUGGACCUUGAACUCACCGUUCGUCCUAGCGAGUAGUUUUUCAACCAGUAGAACCACCCUGAUAGCAAUACGCCGCGCCCCGGUUGCGCUACCGCCUUUCAGAAGUUUCCACUGAAAAAGAAAAAGCUGUUAAGCUCUCCGGCAUGCCGUCGUCGUGUAAGCCUUCCCAUACUAGUAUUACACACGUUUUACUUGCCAUGCAAUUCGACUAGCCAGCGGUACGGUACACACACCCCCGAAACACGACGACUGACAAGCGUCUACCUCCGUCGGAUAUGCUGCUACUACACGCCCGCCCCGCACUCGGAGCGAUUGCUUGGAAUAUGCUUUGAAGUACUUAGGUAUGUAGGUACCGAACCGACCUAUCCGAUCCGUGCUGGUGCAAGCUCAGGAGAAGUUCACAAUUUGUCAAUGUCAGUUUCACUGCUGAAUCAUGCCCCCGUCCGCCUCCACCCAGCUGCAACCACCAACAUACUUUUCUCCAAAUGGAGAUGAAGAUGGGGCUGGUCCGAUCCGAACUGCACUCUUUGAUAAACGAGAUUUUAACCGACUCUUGUUUUGCUUCCGGUUCGGCGAAUCUUUGAGAGGGGGAAGUGAAUUUCUUCAUCAAUCUCCGGGUCCAGAAAUGCCCACCAGGGGCUUAUGGCGUUGACAAACCGAUCUCAUUUGUCCAAUCGUUCUGAUGAGGCUCUGAGUUGUGGAAGAUGGUUGGUGUCGGUGUGUUUUGGCUGAUGACUCGUCAUCGGGUAGGCAGCAAAUUGCAGUGUCUGGUCUCCCUUGGCUUGCUUCCUAAUGUACAAGGGUGGGUUGAUAACGUUUACAAAACGACGACGCUAAUGUAGCAACAAACACGACUCAUUAUUUGACCACCAUUUGUGACGGUUUCUGUGGGAAUUUCUUUCAGAAUUUCCAAAGAAAGAAGAUGCAGAAAAUGACAAAAAUAUUGAAACAAUUUCUGGAGGCAUAUGUAACAGAUGGGUCUGCUUCCUAUCGGGACAUUAUUAUACAAACCAGCUGUUUCUAAUAGUGAGCUUUUACAUGAAAAAAGAGGAAACCAAACACGGAAUCAACUCGUACAAGUUUAUUUAAAAAUUAUCAUUAACUAACUACAUAAAUCUCUGAUUAAUCCACCUAGUGGUGAUAGUGCCUUUCUCGUCAUUUUUUUUUUUUAAUUCUCGUUUUACGUCAUACACACAUUUGUUCGGUAAUUGUUUGACGAAAAUAGAACAGCUGUAUACAGCUAUACUGCGUUGUUUACCUUUUGCACCAGGUUUUGACAGUUGGUGUACUGAACCUCAGUAAAAUCGAUUACCGAAGCUACCGAAAAAAUUCUGCUGUUCUAUUUUCGUCAAAAAAGUGCUGAACAGGCAAUUCAGGAUUGAGUGUACUAUAUUAAAUUUGUAAAAUAAGCUUGAGAAUAUGAAAAAUAGUACUAAUUACGAAAGCUAUAAAGGUUUCGUUAAAACGUGUUUUCUUCAACGCUGCACAGUAAAUAGUUUUGUAAUAUCCAGUCGCGUAAUUUCUAGCGACGUAUCCAAUUUUGAACGUAAAUUAACUCGGUUACAUAGUUCCAACAAUUAUCACACUCACCAUGUACACCUAGUUGCCACCGGAAAGUGUCAACAAACUCAUUCCAGCAGAUACCUAGAAACAGUAUCAUAUUUAAUACCCAUCUUCUAGCUCGGUGGAAUAGCCGAGAGGCGAGGGACAUGUCUCUCAAUCAACGGAUCAGUGUACGAAUCCAUGCCAAUAUUUUACUUAUAUAUGAAUCAUCUAUCGUUCCGGUUCUAGCGAUUGCUAGACCCUCUGUUAAGCUGCGGCGGCUAAUUUGCUGCGUGGAAGGGAUGUAAUUUGUACAUCACUUUCACGACGCGACUGAUGUGCAGCGAAAACGAUGUGAUAUCACAAGAAUUUUGUUGUUGUGUAUGAUAACAGCUCAAUGGCUCAUCUGAAAGCACAAACCAAAAACAAAACUGUUAUUUGAGGACAUUGUGAUGUCCUUGAAUGAUCAGUAUAUCAAAAAAAUGUGGUAUUUUGCAAACGGGAACGAUAGCAUACAACGGCAGAAACUUCAUCUACAAAAUGGGGACCACAGACAUAGCCCGAAAGAACUCACACAUCUUUAAAAAAUGUACCCCAACAUCGCCACAACGAGGAAGAUGUAGCAAAUCGAUCAGCGCAACUUCUAAGUGUAGUUUGGUCGUUGCCCGACUACAUGGGAUAUUACAAGUUGUGUUAUUUUGUUACAAUCAUUUUUAAAAGACACGGACACCGUCUUCAGCCAGCGGCUGUGCAGACUGUACACAGCAAAAAAAAUCUUGUGAUAUCACAUCAUUUUCGCUGCACAUCAGUCGCGUCGUAAAAGUGAUGUAAACAAUUACACUACCCGCCAUAAAUAUGGAAUCGCAUCUUCUAGUAUUGCAACACCCCAAUUGAAUAUUGCAGCACCCCAAAAAGUUUGGCAUCACCUGAAAACCUUAUUUUUUACUAAACUUUAUCUCAAAAACCGUAUCCUCUGCAAAGUUUAGACCUUCGGCAAAGUUGUUCAGCAGGUUUAUGACCUUCAAAUGGUGAAAUGUUUGGUACGUAAUUCCGCCACUAUGUGGCGCUAGUGUGCAUUUACAAUGAAGUACUUUAACAUGGUUUAUCUCAUGAUUCUGACCACCUAGAAUGUUCGUGUCUUCAGCAAUGUUGAUCAGAAGGGUUAUGGCUAUCAAAUGGUGGUAAGUUUAGUGCGUAAUUCCACCGCUAUGUGGCGCUAGUGUGCAUUUACAAUGAAGUACUUUGACAUGGUUUAUCUCAAGAUUCUGACCACCUAGAAUGUUCGUGUCUUCAGCAAUGUUGAUCAGAAGGGUUAUGGCUAUCAAAUGGUGGUAAUUUUAGUGCGUAAUUCCGCCGCUAUGUGGCACCAGUGUGCAUUUACAAUGAAGUACUUUGACAUGGUUUAUCUCAUGAUUCUGACCACCUAGAAUGUUCGUGUCUUCAGCAAUGUUGAUCAGAAGGGUUAUGGCUAUCAAAUGGUGGUAAUUUUAGUGCGUAAUUCCGCCGCUAUGUGGCACCAGUGUGCAUUUACAAUGAAGUACUUUGACAUGGUUUAUCUCAUGAUUCUGACCACCUAGAAUGUUCGUGUCUUCAGCAAUGUUGAUCAUAAGGUCUAUGGCUAUCAAAUGGUGGUAAGUUUAGUGCGUAAUUCCGCCGCUAUGUGUCGCCAGUGUGCAUAAAAAAUGAAAUACUUUGACAUGGUUUAUCUCAUGAUUCUGACCACCUAGACCUACCUGUGCGCCGACUAUAUUUUGCUCGGCGGCAGCGUGAGGGCCAUUUUUGGCCGGCGGCGGCGGCUUCACGCUGGUGGCAGCUUUCGGCGGCGUGAAUUGGCGUGUCCAAAAUUUGACCAUAAUGUUACAUUGACAAAGCAAACAAGUUAUCAUUACGUUCUAGAAUUUGUAGUCUGAGCUACUUCAUGACAAUCGAUGACAUAAACUAUUGAUUGAAUGAAUACCUUUUGUAAGUCCUGUUCAGAUCCAUCGCUGCGACCAGUGAUUAGACCUAUUGUGACAUUAGCCGCAUCCUUAGUGUAGUUCAUGUUGCAAUACUGCAUUGCAAUUGAAGGCAAUACAAUAGAGAUUUUGCUACAGUUUUUGUUUCAUUUAUUUAGAGGGAAGGAAUCUCGUUUCUUCAGGGAGGAAUCUCAGAAGGAAUUCCAGGAGGAACCUUGAAAGAAACUGGUGAAAUCCAUGAAGAAAAUUCUGGGCUUAUCUCUGCAGGAACUACUGUAUGAAAUCCUGAAGGAACGACUGCAGAAAUCUCUGGUGGUUCAAGAGUCUGUCUUUGAGAGCGAUCCCUGCAGAAACUUGUAAAGGAAUCCAUGAUUGAAAUUUUCGAGGAAUUUCAGAAGGAAAUCCAGGAGGAUUCCAUAAAUAAAUUCAAGACGAAAUCCUAAGGGAUUUACAGCAGAAAUCCUCGAAGGAAUUCCAGCGGGAAUUUCUAAGGAAAUUCGAGAAGGAAUCCUUUAAGCAAGGAUUUCUAGGAGGAAUCAACAAAAAAUAUCCAGGAGAAAUUUCGAAAGUUUUUCCAGCAGAAAACCUCAAAAGAAUUCAAGUGGGAGUUUAGAAGAAUAUUAGAAUAAGAGUCACCAAAGGAAUUCUAAGAGGAAUCAAUGAAAAUUACCUUAGAGGUAUUUCUGGAGGAAUUCCAAGAGAAAUCCCUGAGAGAAUUCCAGUAGGAAUCCCCGAAGGAAUUCUAAGAGGAAUCCCCGCAGGAAUUCUAGAAAAAAUCUUCGAAGGAAUCUCCCAAGAAAUUGCAGGAGAAAUUUAUGCAGAAAUCUCAGGAGCAGCCACCGAAAGAACUUCGGAAGAAAUCUUCGAAGGAAUUUCGAGCGGAAUCCUCAAAGGUUUUUUAAGUCAGAAGGAAUUCCCGAAAAAAUCCUUGAAGGAACUCUAGGAAGAAUCCACGAAUUCUAGAAAGAAUUUCCGAAGGAAUUCUUGGAGAAACCACCGAAUAAGUUCAAGAAGGAAACCCUGAAGGAAUUCCAGGUGGAAUUCCAUGAAGAAUUUAAGGAAUUCCAGGAGGAAUCACCGAAAAAAUAAAUAAAAAAGGAAUCGCCGUAGGAAUUCCAAGAGGAAUCUUCAAAGUUAUUCCAGGAGGAGUUUCCGUGUUAAUUUUAGGAGGAAUCCUCGACGGAAUAUCAGGAGGAAUACCCGAAGAAAUAUCAAGAGGAAACUUUGAAGGAAGUCCAGCAGAAAUCCACGAAGGAAUUCCAAGGCAAAUCCCCGAAGGAACUCUAAGAGGGUACCCCGAAGGAAUUCCCGGUGGAAUCCACGACGGAAUAUCAAAAGGAAUCCCCGAAAGAAUUUCAGGAGGAAUCCAUGAAGGAAGUCCAGGAGGAAUCCCCAAAGAAAUUCCAGAAAGAAUUUUUCAACGUAAUUCGUGAUGGAUUCUUCAAAAGACUUCUAGGAGGAACCAUCGAAAAAAAAUUAGAAGAAUCCUCGAAUAAAUUUCAUGAGGAAUCCGUGGAUAAAAUUGAAAAGGAAUCUUCGAAGGAAUUUUAGGAAGAAUCCCCAAAGGCAUUUCAGGAGGAAUCCCCGCAGGAAUUUCAUGAGCAAAUUCCGAAAAUAAUCCUGCAAAGGAAUUCCAGCAAUUAUCCACAACGAAAUUCCAGCUGGACUCCAGUGGGAACUUCCAAGGGAAUUUGGGUAAGAAUCUCCAAAGGAUUUCAAUAACGGAUCAACGAAAAAUAUCCUCUGAAACAGUUCCAGGAGCAAUCCUUGAGGGAAUUCUAGAGAAAUCACCGAAGGAAUUCCAAGAGGAAUCCCCGAAUGAAUUUCAGAGGAAAUUCCCCAAGGAAUUCCAGAAGGAAAUCCUGAAGGAAUUCUAGGUGGAAUCCCCGGAGGAAUUCAAUGAAAAAUUUUUGGAGCAAUCUCCGAAGAAAUUCGAAGAGGAAUCACAACAGAAAUCCCAAGAGGAAACUCCAAAGGAAAUCCAGGAAAAUCCUCCAAAGUAAUUGCUGGAGGAGUUCCCGUAGAAAUUCCAGGGGGAAUCCCCGACGGAAUGUCAGGAGGAAUCUCCGAAAUAAUUCCAGGAGAAAUCCCCGAAAGAACUCUACAAGGAGACCCCGAAGGAAUUCCAAAAGAAACCUCCGAAAUAAUUCAAGGAGAAAUCUCCGAAGGAAUCCCUGAAGGAAGUCCAGAAUGAAUACUUCGACGGAAUUCCAGGAGGAUAUCCUGAAGAAAUUUCAAGAGAAAACUCCGAAGAAAUUACAGGAGACAUCCCAGGGGGAAGAGGAAACCCAUUAGGAAUUUCAGAAUAAAUCUCCGAAGAAACACUAGGAGGACUCCUGGAGGAAUUCUAUGAGGAAUCCCUGGAGGAAAUCAAGGAGGAAUCUCCGUGGGAAUUCUAAAAGAAAUCAUCAAAGAAAUUCCAGGAGGAAGCCCCGAAGGAAUUUUAAGAGAAAUCCGCGACAGCGUAUCAGGAGAAAUCCCCGAAAGAAUUUCAAGAGGAACCCUUGAAGGAAUGCAACAUUAAUUUUGUUUGUGCACUGAUCACCGUCGCGAAAAAUAAAAACCGGCGGUGUGACAAACUGCGACGUAUGGCCUAGGUAAUCAGAAUCAUGAGACAAACCAUGUCAAAGUACUUUGUUUUAAAAGCACACUGGCGCCACAUAGCGGCGGAAUGACGCAUUAAACUUACUACCAUUUGGUAGCCAUAGACAGUCUGAUCAACAUUGCCGAAGACACGAACAUUCUAGGUGGUCAGAAUUAUGAGAUAAACCAUGUCAAAAUACUUCGUUUUAAAUGCACACGGGCGUCACAUAGCGGCGGAAUUACACACUAUAUUUACCACCAUUUGAUAGCCAUAGACCAGCUGACCAACUUUGCCGAAGGCAAGAACUUUCUAGGUGGUCAGAAUCAUGAGAUAACCCAUGUCAAAAUACUUCGUUUUAAAUGCACACUGGCGCCACAUAGCGGCGAAAUUACGCACUAAACUUACCGCCAUUUGAUAGCCAUAGACCGUCUGGUCAACUUUGCCGAAGACACGAACUUUCUAGGUGGUCAGAAUCAUGAGAUAACCCAUGUCGAAGUACUUCCUUUUAAAUGCACACUGGCGCCACAUAGCGGCGGAAUUACGCACUAAACUUACCACCAUUUGAUAGUCAUAGAUCGUCUGAUUAAAUAUGCUGAAGACACGAACAUUCUAGGUGGUCAGAAUCAUGAGAUAACCCAUGUCGAAGUACUUCGUUUUAAAUGCACACUGGCGCCACCUAGCGGCGGAAUUACGCACUAAACUUACCGCCAUUUGAUAGCCAUAGACCGUCUGAUCAACUUUGCCGAAGACACGAACUUUCUAGGUGGUCAGAAUCAUGAGAUAACCCAUGUCGAAGUACUUCCUUUUAAAUGCACACUGGCGCCACAUAGCGGCGGAAUUACGCACUAAACUUACCACCAUUUGAUAGUCAUAGAUCGUCUGAUUAAAUAUGCUGAAGACACGAACAUUCUAGGUGGUCAGAAUCAUGAGAUAACCCAUGUCGAAGUACUUCCUUUUAAAUGCACACUGGCGCCACCUAGCGGCGGAAUUACGCACUAAACUUACCGCCAUUUGAUAGCCAUAGGUCCUCUGAUCAACUUUGCUGAAGGUCUAAACUAUGCAGGGGAUACGGUUUUUGAGAUACAGUUCAGAAAGUGAUGAAGUCUUUAGGUGAUGCCAAACUUUCUGGGGGUGCUGCAAUAUUCAACUGGGGUGUUGCAAUACUAGGCGAUGCGAUUCCAUAUUUAUGGCGGGUAGUGUACAUCAUUUUCAUGCAACAAAUUAGCCGCCGCAGCUUGAGAGUGGGUCUAGCAAUCGCUAGAACCGGAUCUUUAGAUGAAUCAUAUAUAAGUAAAAUAUUGGCAUGGAUUCGUACACUGAUCCGUUGAUUGAGAGGCAUAUCCCUUACCUCUCAGCUAUUUCACCGAGUUAGAAGGAAGGUGAUAUCUGCUGGAAUGGGUUUGUUGAUACUUUCCGGUGCCAACCAGGGUGUGCAUGGUAAGUGUGAUAAUUGUUGGAAAUCGAUGUAACCGAGUGAGAUUACGCUCGAAAAUGAAUACAUCACCAGAAAUUACGCGCCUGGAUAUUACAAAAUUAUUUACUGUGUAUGAAACUUAACACUAGACAAUGCACACGGAUCAUGCACCAGUGGAUACGGAGAAUAAGCUUUUCUCACGUUAAAAAACAUGUUAUAAAACAUGUACCGUUAGUAGUUGAAAUAACAAAAAUUCUAACAAAACUCGUUCCAAUAAAAACAAAAGUAUAAGUGAGUAAUUCUUGCUGAAACCAGGCCGCCAUUUACAUAUAGUCUGGGAUUUCAAAUUUCUGUUGCUUAUUCGCUAGAAUAUGAUAAAAAAGGAUGAAAACCACUUUGGUUGGGUUAAAUUGAUGGACCCCUCGCUUGGCAAGGGGCUGACAAGAUGACAAAAAUGAUGAUUUUUCAUCAAAUUGCCCCUAAUUUAUCGCAAAAUAUCUCAAAAUUUAUUGUUGUAACAUAUACAAAACUUCUCGUUUCUAUCAAGGGAAAGUAUAAACCUUUCAUUUGAAGUUGAAAUUUUUUUGGCGGUCAUCUUGGAUUUGGUCGCCGUUUUGAAUUUUAUCAUUAAAUCGUGAUUUUCGGUGUGUUCGCAAUCACCGAUUUCAAACCCGAACUCACCAUUAGAAACCUGAGAGUCUAUGCUUUUCAAAACACUAAAAAAUUAGGUGUGCAUUGACCGCAACAAUGAUAUAUCGAUGAAAUCGUUAGGCGACCUCCUAUUCUCCGAUUUUUUUUGGUGCUUUCUUGGUAAAGAUAAUGGAAUAAUUUCUGAAAUUUCUGAUGAAAUUCCUGAAAUUUUUCUGAAGAGAUCCUGAGCUGAAUUUCUGGAGGAAUCACUAGAGGACUUUCUGAAUCGAUCCUUCGAAGUAUUCCCGGAGCAAUCCCUGAGGAAACUCCUGGAGGAAUUCCUGGAUGAACUUCUGGAGAAAUUCCUGUAGGAAUUCCUGCAGGAAUGCCUAGUGAAACUCAUAGAGAAAUUCUGGGAGGAAUCCCUAAAGAAAUUUUGGAAGAUAUCUCGUGAGGAAUUCCUUAAAUAAUUCCUAGAGGAAUUUAUGGAGGACUGCCUGGAGGGAUUUCAAGAGUAACCCCUGAACGAAUUCUUUAAGAAAUUCCUGGAGAAUAUAAUGGAGGAAUCCCUGGAAUAAUUGCUGGAGAAAUCUCUGGAGGAAAUCCUGGAGGGAAGCAUGGAAGAACUUCAGAACACAUACCUGGCGGAAUCCCUGUCAAAAUUCCUGGUGCAAAUCCUGAAAGAACUCCUGGAGGAAUCCCUGGAAGAAUUUCUGAAGGAAUACCCGGAGGAAUUCCUGUCAAAACUCCUGGACGAAUUCCUGUUGAAAUUCCUGGAAGAAUUCCUGGAGGAACCCCUGCACUAAUUUCAGGAGGAAUGCUGGGAAGAAUUACUGGAGGAACUCCUAUAAGAGUUUUGGAAGGAAUCCCAGGAGAAAUUUUGAAAGAAAUUGCUAAAGAAAUUCCUGGAGAAAUUCUUAGAGGAGAUAGCUGGAGGAAUUCUUGGAGUAAUUUCUGGUGGAAUUCCUGGAGAAAUUCGUGGAGAUGUUCCUGGAGGAAUUGGCUUCUUUAACGGUGUUGAGAUAAUUCCAUAUUCUGAAUCUACAUGCCAAACUGAGCCGAAAUCCAAAUUUUCAUGAAUUUUGGUGCCCGGGAACCUAUUUAAAAAUCAAUCCGAAGUUUGUAUGGGAGCGAUUUGAUGAAUCACCCCUCGUUGGAUUUUGUACUGGGCGGAGCUGUCAAACAGUUGCCCAGCUGUCAAAAGGUGAUUUGAAAAAAUCUCUUUGAAAUUAAUUUUAGGUAUCAAAAUAAAGUUCUAAAAAUCUGAAAAAAAUCAUAGUGGCUCAGAAAAAGGUGCUCUAUCAUUUAAAAAUAUAAAAUCAUUGAUAUUUUGUUAAUUUAAAAACCCAAUUGCUGGAUAAAUUCCUGAAAUAAUUUCUAGGUGAAUUUCUGGAGGCAUUUCUAGAGGAAUCCCUGAAGCAAUUCUGGAGAUGUCCCAGGCAAAAAUCACAGACGAAAUCCCAAGGGGAAUCCAUGGAUCAAUCCGUGGAGGAAUUCUUGGAGAAGAAAUUUCUCGAUGAAUAUCUUCAGGAAUCGCUGGAAAAUUUCAUGGUCGAAUUCCUGGUGAAAUUCCUGGAAAAAUUCCUGGACAGAUUUCUGGGGGAAUUCCUGGAAGAAUUACUUUAGGAAUUUCUGAAGGAAAUCCUGGAGGGGUUCCUGGAGGAAUACGUGAAGAAUUUUCUGGAAAAAUUCCUGGAGGAAUUCUUGGAGGAAUUCCUGGAGGAGUCUGUUGAAUAAUUCCUAGAUGAAAUCCGGGAAAAAUGCUUAGGCGAAUUCCUGGAGGAAUCCCUGAAAAAAAUCCUGGAGAAAUUUCUGAAAGAAUAUGUGGAGAAAUUCUUGGGGAAAUCCCUGGAGGAAUUUCUGCUGGAAUCGCUGGAGGAUUUCCUGGAGAGAAUCCUGGAGAAGUUGCUGUAGAUAUUCUGAAGGAGUUCCUGGAUAAAUUCAUGAAAGAAUUCCUGGGAUAAUUCCUGAUGGAAUUCUCGAAGGAUUUCCUGAGGAGUCCCUUGGGAAAUUCCUGGAUAAUUCUUUGUGGAACAAGGCAUAGAAAAAUAUCUGAAGAAAUGCAUGUAGAAAUUCCUUGAAGAAUUCCUGGAGGAAUCCCUGGAUGAAUUCCUGGAGGAAUCUCUGGAGAAAUUCCUGGAGGAAUACCUGGAGAAAUUCGUGGAGAAAUAUCUGGAGGAAUGCUUGAAUCCCUGGAAUCCUUGAACCCUUGAAUCCCUCAGGGAAAUAACUCCCGAAGCAAUCUCUGGAGGAUUUCCUUGACAAAUUCCUGGAGGAAUCUCUAGACAAAGAACCCCUAGGGAUCCCUAGGGAGAAUUUCUGAUAAAAUUCCUGGAGGAAUUAUUGAAAAAAUCGCAGAAAGAAUUUCCGGGGAAAUCCUGAAGGAAUCUUAAAAAUGAGUACGUGGUGGAACACCUGGAGAAAUCAUUGUAGCAGUUCCUGAAGGAUUCUCCGGGGAGACCUCAGGAGGAAUCCGGGAUGCAAUCCCAAGAGGAAUUCCUAAUGUAAUCCCUAAACAAUUCCUGGAGAAAGUCUUGGAUUGAUUACACUAGUUUACAGCAUUUUUGAACUCGGUAAGCUGAUGAUCGUUUUUGGUGUAGAAUCGUGCCCUGAGUUCGAAAACGCGAAGGAAAAAAAUUACAGUAGAGCGGAAAUUUUAUCGACUUUCCAUACAAGGUUGAUGAUUUGAAAUCGAUUUUUGUUCUAUUUUUAAGCAAAGUCGCUCACUUCACACAUCUCAUUCUCCGUAAUCAAUGUUCCGAUUGAGCUGAAUUUUUUACUGUAACUCACCCACAUAUGAUAUGUCAAAUAAACGUUGAGAAAGAAUUUUUAAGUUGUUUUUUUCUUAUUGAAAAAAAUACAUUUCUUCAUAAAUUUUUGGAAAUUUUGCUUAAAUUAAGGGAGGUCGUCCACAAAACUCGCCAAUAUCUUGAAUUUCAUCAAUCUGACGCAAAACCUGCAUUCAGAUGAUCGAAUGGUGUUAUACUUAGCCGUUAAUUUAUGGAAAAAGAUUUAAAAUUGGUUGAACAAAACGCAAGAUAUUUGAAUUUUAUUAAAUUCCAUAUUUCAAAAAGUUGUAAAACUCGAUAUUGAGCUAAAACUCAAAAACUGUUCUACUUAAAAUUUUUCGAAGCACGGUUUCGAAAUCAGCGCUAAAUUAUGCUUCAAAAAUUUUGAUCGUUGACAGAAGUUCAUGACUUUCGUUUUAUUUUGUAAACUAGUGUUAUUGAAGGAGUUUUUGAAAGAAUUACUGGAGGAAUUUCAGAAGAAAACUCAACAAAAGUUUCUGAAGGAAUCCUUGAAGGAAUUUUUAUAAUAACCUCAGGAGUUCCUGAAAGUAUCACAGAAGGAAUACAUGGAGAAACCCCUCUGAGGAAUCCCGGAAACAAUUCCAUGAGGAAUUUAUUAGGAAAUCCCAGGAGAGCUAUUUUAAGGAACUCCUGGAUAACUCUCUGUAGGGAUGCCUGGAAAGAGUCUGAAAGAAUCCAUGUCUGCAGUAAUUUCUGGACAAAUUAUUGGAAGAAUCCUUGGAUGGACUCAUAAAGGAUUUUAAGUACAAAAUUUAAAGAAUUCGUGGAUUAUUUUUUCAAUCAUCUCUAGUAAAAUUUUCUGAGAGAAUUCCAUAAAGGAAUCCCAACAGAUAUACUUCGAAUAAUGUAUAGAAUACAUGUAGAAAAUCCUGAAGAAAUCUCAAAAAUAUAAUACUUGCGCAAAUAUCUUUAAAAAUCUCUGGUCAAAUUUAUAUGGGAAUCCUUGAAAAAAUUUCUGAAGGAAUCGUCGAAAAGGGCACAGGAACAAUCACUGGAGGAAUCUCUAAAGAUACCCCAUGGAAAAAUUUCCCUAGGAAUGUACAGAGUAAUUCUCGCACUAAUCGCUGAACGACGCUAUCGGAAAAUUACAGGAAGAAUUCGGCGAUACAUCCUUGCAGUAGUAUUUGUAAAAAUUGCUGAAUGAAAUGAACCGUGAGAGGAACUCCUGAAGCAUUUCUUGGAACAAACCCUGGAACAGUUACUAUCAGAAUCCCGCUAACGUCCAUGGGACAGUUCACAAAGGAAAUUAUUUUUAUGAAAUCCCUUGAGGAAUUCUUGAAGUUUGUUAUUUGGUAAAAUUAUAUGAUAAAACUGAAGUGGUGCUCUUGGAGAAAUACUUGGCCAAAUUUCUUGUAAUUCUCAAGAAAAAAAAAUUGAUUAUUAUGGCUAAAAUUCUAGAUUAAAGUCUAGAAUAAAAUAGUUUAUUUAUUGAGAUUUUUUUUUCUCUGGAACUCUUAUAAUCUUGAGCUAUAACUUAUGGAAAUAAUCUCUAGUCUAUUUUGGCACCCCCGAUUCCAGUACAGCCCGGAAUAUCUCCGGAACGAUUCCACUUGAGUGCAAUAAACUUGCACUAAUUUAUGAUCGAUUAUGGGCGGAUUCAAACAAAUCCGAUGAAAAUAGACGAAAUUCCAUCAUAUUUAAAAUGAGUUGUCGGAGGUCGGGGUUAAAGCGGCAACACGCGUGAAUUCAUUCGAAAUUCGAAUUUCCUCGUGUACGGUUACACUUCCACCAUGUCCGACUGACCCAAGAAAAAAAAAGUCCUAUAAUAACACUUAUCACAAUGGAUCUAAAUGGCGGCACAUCGGAAUGAGGCCAGCGUACUCAACAAUGACACAAUGGCACGGAGGCGCGCGCGCGUGUGCGUGGGAGGGGGAGCAGUGUUGUUUUUGUUUACGGGUCUCGAAAUUAUGCAACACGCAAUGCCGACCGACAAGAAUCCCAUUCCAUUUUCCAUUAUCAUCGUCGCUAUCACGUCUGUCUUGCCUUUAUCGUUGUCGUCAUCGUCAACCGACCGACCAACCAUCCCGCACUGACAUAAGUGUAGUUUUCCUUUGUUCCAUGUAAGAUGUGGUACGUUUAUUACAACGAGUGACGACAACACGGACGGUGGUGGAUGGAGGCUCCAUCACAUAUUUAUGGGAAAAUAUUUAUGCAUUAUUUAUAUAGAUAUGGAGGCUCUCGAGAGCAUAACAAUGACUGCCUGUUGCAAAAGUAUGCCGCAUUACUGAGGGUAGGGUGGUUCCGGAGGGCUCCAGUUUCCAGAAAUGUAUGGAAUCUGAAACUCACAAGACCGCUCUGAACAGUCCCUCCUAUGAUAUUUAUGCAAUAAAAAGUAAUGUACCAUAUCGAUGAGUAAUACUUAAGUGCUGAAUAUUGAUGGAUAGGAUAUCGUUCUUGAAUUGGAAAUCUAAAAGCCUGUUUGAUACUAGAAAAGCGUUGGCGUUUCGUGAGAUUUGUAGCGCUAUCGUAGCGCUAAUAUUGAUUUUGACCUCUACAUGGUGACGGUAAAAAUGGACCCGAAACUAAUUGAUAAUGUAAGCUAUAGAUGGCUACCUCGGUACGACCUAUGUAGAACGACUGAAGUAACCAUUGCAAACGUGCAGAAUCUCGAAGCAGCGUUGCCAGGCUUGAACGAGCUCGAUGAUGCACUUUUUAAGGAAUGCUGAAGAACAGUUGAAGCAGCCAUCAAUGACGCAGCCGAGAGCACCGUCAGGUACGAGGAAUCAUGCUGAAUCAUGCGUAAAUCAUGCUGCAGCAUGGCACCCGAUAGAUUCUGCUACAAGCAGAAGCGGUUUUAAGUUAUUUUGAUACUCAAACUCAAGUCAUGUAUAACUUUUCUGAGGAUAUAACAUCACUGCAGUUAUCUUAUUAUAAUCAUGUUUUGAUAUCAACCAAAAAUUCUAUAUUGAACGGUGGUUCCAGCAAAAACAUUUAUUAUUUUGUUAUUAUCAUUAGCAGGAAUUAUCUUCAACUUGCCAUCACAGAAAUAAUGUUAGAUGUUUAAGUUAAAUAUUAAGACGAGCUAAACGACAACAAUUUGAGAUAUCAUAAUUUGCCAUGACAACAGUUUUCAACUAUAUGUCAGACUUUUCACAGGAACACCAAGGAUGGGAACACUCACUUGCAAAUAGUUACACUCACUUGCUAUUUUCUCAACAUAGAAGCAAUCGAAAAACAAUAUAUAAACGACUUUUGCCUUGUGAUUUUAUCUAAAAGUUUGCCGAAAAGAGUAGGAGUCGUACACGCAUACCGUAGUCGUAACAGAUCUGCGAAGGCAACUCUCCACCUCGUGGAGAGUCGCUUUUACAGCUCUGUUAAGACGUGUGCGACCCCAACUCUAUUCGGCAAACUUUUAGAUAAAACCACAAGGCAAAAGUCGUCCAUAUAUUGUUUUUCGAUUGCUUCUAUGUUGAGAAAAUAGCAAGUGAGUGUAACUAUUUGCAAGUGAGUGUUCCCAUCCUUGGUGUUCCUGUGAAAAGUCUGACAUAUAGUUGAAAACUGUUGUCAUGGCAUCCCUGAGGAACACUAUAGUCCUGUUCAAUGAUGCAGGUUGAAAUUGCUCGAAGUUGCUGCAUCUUGCUCUUACCCAUUUGUCAUCAAACGGGUAAGAGCGGAAUGCAGCAACUUCUUGCAAGUUCAACCUACGUCGUUGAACAGGACUUAUGUUGUUCUUAUGUGAUUUUCAGCGGAGCCCUUUUUUUUACUGUCAAUUUUUAGAAUAGGCCUCAUUUAGGCCUCAUUCCGCAUGCUUCUGGCGAUAUUUUCAAGUUCGAAAUUCCGGAUCCGUUUUAUCCGAAGCAGUUUCGAACGUACUGAAACUUCAUUCAAUGUGGAUUUUACGGAAGUUUCACCGUAAAUUUCUCAAGGUCCUCCACCGGGAAUUCUUCAGAGUUCUUCCGGAAAAUUCUCCAAGAGUUUUUUUUCUAGACAUUUUUCUAAAGGUUUCGAUGGGCGAGCAUGAACUUCUGGAAUUUCGUGAAUCCCUUGAGAAGUUCAUUUUUGAACUCCUUCAAGAGUUCCUCCGGAAAUACAUCCAGUAGAUAGUUAGUAGUUGCACCGGAAACCCGAAGAACAUCUCAAGCAUUUCCACCGGGGAAUUAUCUAGAAGUUUUACUGUGAUUUCCUCUAGUAGCCCGAGGAGUUCUACUAAAAACUCCUUUAGAAUUUCCGCCAGAAAAAAAAAUCCUCCACAGAAGGUCGACCGCAAAGGAGUUUUGGCAGGAAUUUACCUCGAGGGAACCCUAGAUAGAAUUUCAGUAGAAUUUUGUUACAGAACUUCAGAAAGAACUCUGAACAAAUUCCGGAUUUUUUCUAAGUGCAACACUUGGAGGGAAAUUUUCAAGAAAUACCCAUUUUUGAGUACACCGUAAAUUUAUAUGGGAAAAUAAUUCUGGAUAGAAUAUUACGCUCUUGGCAUCAAGUGAAAGGUGAGAUCCUCAGCUUUCAUUUAGUGGCUGAUUUAUUCAAAUAAUAUUUUUCUACCAUAGACACUAAGCCUCCGGAUAUACAUGCAGUUGUUACACAGAAAAUGUUGAAACAUUACCAAGGAGUUCAACAGUGAAUACUCUAGUAGUUCAAAAAGCUCCACUGGAAGUUUCUUUAAAUUUUCCGCCAGAAGAGAGAAUUUCUCCAGAAGUUUUACCCGGAAUUAGUCACGAAAGAAUUCUGGAAAGAAUUUCUGAAGAAGUUUGUGGCAGAAUGUUAGGAAGAACUCUAAAUAAAUCUGCAUUUUUAAGUGGAACCUUGGUGGAAUUCUCUUAAGAUAAACUUUGUCUGGAACUCCAUGAGGAUAUUUUGAGGGAGGAAAUUUUGGAAUUGUUGAACUGGAAUAAGUUGCGAAACUAUAAAAGGAGUUUUCAGAGGAUUUCCUGGAAAAUUUUCUGAAGACAUGUUUGAAGGAAUUUUAGGCGGCAUUUCUGAAAAAAAAUCUUGAAGGCUCUCUUGAAAGAAUUCCAGAAGAAAAUCCUGGAAAAUCACGCGAAGCAACUUCGAAAAUAAAGGAAUUUAAAAGAAUACAUCGACCCACUCCUGAAAAAACUCGCGAGGGAACUUUUGGAGAAAUAUCUAAAGCUACUGCUUGUAUAAUUUAUGAGUCCUAGAAGAAUUUUAUGAAAAACUAUUAUAGGUUCCACAAGAAGAGCUUUCAGUGGAAUUUUGAAGACUUGCAUUCUUGAAGGAAUUCUGUUAUAUUGAAGAAUUUGCGGAGGAAACCCUGAAAAAAUACCGAAGGAAUUCAGAAUUAAUUCUGGGAAAAAACUCUUAGACAGUUCUCGGAAGAAAUCUGGAAACAAUUCCCGCGGCAACUCUUCAACGAAGUUCUGAAGAAACAUCUGAAAAAUUCUUGAAAAAAAACUUUUGAAGCAAUUAUGUUGUGAGAGGAAAAAAAAAUGCAGUAGGAUCUACAGAAGACUAGGAAAAUUACCGAAAAUUACCGAAGGAAUUUCAAAAUUAAUUACUGAGAAAAUUUCCAUACAAUUUCAUGAGAAAUCCGCGAAUAAACUGUCGAUAGAAUUAAAAAAAAAAAAUUGAAUAAAUUUUCGGUGAAAAUUUCUUAAGUAAUUUACCAAGCGAAUUUUCAGACAUAGGGAUUUUUUUUUAUUACUGUACGGGUUUGGGCCGCAAUUUUUACAACAUUUACCACAACUCAGGAACGAAAAUUAAGUGCAUUCCAAAAAUUUCAGCGAUCAAAGCUUAUGAAAUUACCUUCUCAAAAAUAUUUUUUCGAAAAUUUUCCACGAGUUUAGGCAUAAUUUUUCCGGCUUUCUUUACAAAUUUUCUCUACUUUGAAAAAUUUUGCGGAAAACUUUUUCCAGUCAAUAUUUUUUUUUGAUUCCUGAGGAAAUUUGCUUUCAUUUUCUAAAAAAAGCUUUGUUUCUACGAUGCUUCAUUCUUGAGUUAUGAUUUUUCAAAGUAGUGUCAGGGGAAAACAAAAAAAUCCAUCUGGGUUUUCCGAGAAAAUAGGCGAUCCUGAGUUUUUCUCAAAUUUUUUUCGUUCAUAUAUCCAUGAGGGCUGCCAGUGGAAAAAAAAAAACUUGAAAAUCUAAGACCCUUAGACCCAGUUUGUACAGUAAUAAAAAAAUGUCCACAUACAACCAAGGGAAUCACCGAAAAUAACUGAGAAAUUUCCAAAAACUCCAAAAACAGAUAAAAUAAAUGGAAAUAAAAAAUACUGAAAAGAGAUUAGCUAAGGAAUUUCUAAAAAAAAUAAGGGACCGUCCAUAAACGACGUAGCAUUUCAGAAGGAACGGGAGUCCCUGAAAUUGCUACGCUAUCCAUUUAUUAGGUAUGGGAAAAUAGGCUACGAGAGGGGAGGGGACUGUUGAAAAUUAGCGAAGGAAUUCCCAAAUAUGCCACCGAAGGGAAUUCCAAAGGAAUUUGGAUAGGAAAUGCAAAACUAUUACCAACCGAAAUUCAAAAAUAGUUACUGGAAUCUCCGUGUAAAUAACAAAUGAAAUUCCUAAACAAACAGCCGAAGCAAUUUGCAAAGGAAUUGGAGAAGAAAUCCGUAAAGUCAUAUCCGAAAUAAUUUUGAAUAUGAAAACUCAUUUAUUUAGUAAACUCCAAAAGAAUAGCCGGAGAGAUUUCCAAAGGAAUCGUCAAAAGAAUUGUAAAAGGAAUUGCCGAAGUAAUUAUCAAUCAUUUUUCAAAGGAAAUUCUAAGAAUAAAAAAUAAAAAAUUGCUGCACGAUUUUUAAAACGAAUUACAGAAUAAACUUUCAAAAUAUUUGCCUAAAAAAUCUCCUAGAAAAUUGUUUAAGAAAUUCUUAAAAAAAGAUAUCUGUUCGUUUUACAAAGAUGUUUUCCGAAAAUUAUGAAACAAAUUAAAUGAAGGGACUUCCAAACGAACUACCGAGGGAAUUCUAAAUAAAACAUGAAAGUAACUGUUUAAAAAACUGAAGAAAUUUCAAAUCAAAUUACUUAGGAAAUUUCCAAAUGAAUUGGCUUCUUAGCGAUAUUGAGAUAAUUCUAUAUUCUAAAUCCGAAAAACUAUUCUUGAGGCUUGGGAAAAGGUGCCCUUUGGUAUAAAAUUUAAAAAUCUAUUUUUUUUUACAAAAUUCUUAAACAUAUUUUAUACAAAAUUCGAAAAAUACAUUUGCCUCGAAACCCUUCCUCUUGGGACCCUCAUGUUCCCUAAAACUCUACUAAAGUCUCCUGAUGCGUCCUGUAGACCUUUGAAGCCCUCUGAAAUGCAUUGAAAUACUUAGAAAACCCUUUGUAACCCCCCUAAAUGAGGGGCUGUAAUGAACGCUCCUAGACUUCCGAUAACCCUUCUGAAAUACCAUGAAACGUCUUUAAACACCUUGAAGCCUUUCUGCACCCACUCUGAAGCACUCAUGAAUCCCGCCUGAAAGCCCCUGAAGCCCUUCGAAACCUCUUGAAACGCCUCUUAAACCUUUUGAAGAUCUCCUGGAAGCCCCUGAAGCGCUCAAGAACCCAGCUGAAACCUCCCGAAAUCGCCAUGAACCCCUUUAAACUCCCCUGAAACUUUCUUGAAAGACCCCUACUCUCUGGAACCCCGCAUUUCACAGUGACUUUUCAUAACUAUGUACUCACCCUGGUUAAACCGCCCUGUAACCUUGAAAUCCAAUAAUCAAAUAAACUCUUUUCAGUUACGUAAAUAGAAGUCUUGGUGUACACGUCAAUAAUACACGUCGAUUUUAGAUGAUAAAAAAUGGUAUUUAGAUAAAAAUCAAAAAUUUGGGUAUUAGAGGGUUUAAAUAUUGUUCCAGGGAUUCAUCGAGAAGUUUCUUCAAAGUUAGCUUUAGAAAUUCUACCGGUGCCUUCUUCAGAAAUUGCUCCAGAGAUUCUUAAAUUCACCAAAAAAUUUCUAUAGAGAACCUUCUAUGGAUUCUUUCUAAAAUUGCAUCAUUGAUUCCUUAGAACGUGAAAUACGUCACUUUGUAAUCUUUGGUGGGGUUCCCAAAGUUAAUGCUGGAGGAACUCCUUGAGAUGGCUCGGGAGAAAUUGCAAGAAAAGAUUUAUGAGAAAGUUUUUGAUGAAUUCAAGGAAAAAGUCCUGGAAGAGUUUCCGAGAAGAUCUUAAAAGGGAUUUCUUAAGACCACUCUUGAUGAAUUAUCAAAAUACAUAAACCUCGGAAAAUGCCCGAAAGAAAUUUUUUAGAAAAAUCUACAGCAAUUCAUGCGGAAAUUGCAGAUAAAGGUACUAGAGGAAUUCCGGAAUUAAUCUCUAAAUAAAAUUCUUAAGGGACUCCAUUAGAAUAUUCUGAGCAAAACCUGAAAGAACUCUUAAGGAUUGUAUGGAGAAGUUGUUAAAAGAAUUUUUGUAAACUAAAAAUUCUUAAGGAACUCCAUCAAAAUGUUCGGAAGCAAACCCUGAAAGAGCUCGUAAGGAUAUUUAUGGAGAAAUUUUUAAAAUAUUUUUUUGAAAUAUGUCUAAACGUAUUAGUGAACAAAAAUUCCUGAAAUUUCUGAAUUCAUUCCUAGAAGACACUUUUGGAGGAAAUCUAGCAGUAGUUUAAAACCAAUUUGAAUGAAUUAUUGAAGAACAUCUGAAAAAUGUAUAAAGAUAUUGAAUUUUUGAAGGAAUCUCUGAGGGAGCACCCGAAAAACUGGAUAAUACUCCUCAGUAAUACCAAGAAGAAUUGCUGGAGAUAUUCCUCGAGAAACGUCAAGACAGAUAAACCCUGAAGUAAUUUCUGAAGGAAUUUCUGGAAGAAACUUUGAAGGGAUUGCUGGAGGGCCCUGCAAAAUAAUCCCUGCAGAAACGUCUCAAUUCCUCCCAAAAAGGUUUCUGAGGAACUUCUGCGAAGUACCCUGGUAGAACAUCUAGAAGAAUUUCUUGAGAAUUUCCUGGAAAAAAAAAAUCUUAAGAAAUGCCUGAGCCUGAGGUUCCCGUAGAAAAUCCUGGAAAGAGCCAUAUAUAUAAAUACCUGAACCUCUCGAGGAACUCAAAACAUAUCUGAUGAAAAAUUCAGAAGAAUUUCUUAAAAACCACAUGAAAUAUGUGCUGCUGUAUGCCAGUGAAACGUGGUGUGCAUCAGUGGAAAAUACUCAACGGUUGCAGAUCUUUAUCAACAAAUUACUGUAGUGUAUAACUUGAACAUGGUAGUCGCUCAAGUCGAUGGUGACACAAUUUGGUGCUGGUAGAAUUUUCCUGCGAUGCUAAAGUUCCCUAGAUUCACAAACAAUCUUUGAGGAAUUUUAGUGAAAUGGUUGAAGUUUCAGCCAAAAACAUAACUUUCAGUGUUUGCUGUAAGGACCUGUUUUUAAAUGCUUCUCUACAUUAGUCGUUGAAUGCCUUGUUUCAAAAAAAAAAAAAAAAAAAAAUUACAGCUAAACAUAGCAGUGUAACAGUGGUUGUAGAUUGAUGUCACUAAAUUGCAAUCAUCCCGUGCUACAUUGACCCAGAAUUAAAAUCAAUUGCCUUAUGAAAGCCAAUUUAUUUAAAUUGUAAUGCUUCGGAAAAGUGUGCAUAAAUCUAAUUGAGCUUCCUAUUCCAGCUUAAUACCACCCACCCACAUAAACCACAGAAGUAAAUAAGGCGUUGACAUGUACAUCCAUUUCACGGAAUUCCUGUCCACAAUUGGACAAAAUUUCCUGGUAGUGAGAACAAAUUAUAGAAAAAAAUACACUUGAUGUAUGCUUAAUUUACAUUAUGAAAUGUGACUCACUCAAAGGUAUGUUACGCACAUCCCGCAAUUUUAUGGGCACCUUCGCAAUGAAUUGUGAAAACAAAAUUAAAACACCAAGCAAUUUAUCAAAGGGAGUAUACCUAGUAGUCGAUAGAGUUACGUACGACGACGAUCCGGUCGUAAUAUUUCCCGGAACGCUUUGGUGCCGAUAAUUGAAUUUCCCGGCAUUUUAGCGGGUCGAAUUGCAUUUGAAACAUUCCACUCAAUUGCUUACCGGUGCUGCCGGGGCUGGUUAAAAUUAAAUUGAAUUAAAUUUAGUUGAAGGUUCGUAGCACACAAAAGUCCUCAAAUUUAAGAAUUUAAGAAUAAUGAAAUAUUUUCCGCGUCAUGAAUAAAUCACCGCGAAGAGACAAAUCCAGCAAUCAUAAAUCAUAAUCUUUCUAGUUUUCUUCUAACGAACUCACAGGGAAGUUACAACUCCUAAUCCCAGACUAAACCCCGGAGGACUCCCGACAAAAAGCACUCUUACGAAAGUCCGUUUCCUGACCUGAUUGUUCCGCAGAGCCACGUGAGAUCCACUUUGGACGACGACUGCUGCUUGCUGGAGCUACUACCUAGAUGCUGACUCAGGCAGGACCUGCCAGCGCUCAGUGCUUGCUCGGUUCGCAUCCUAAUUGUGCGCGCCUAAUUAGGCAUACAAUUACUUCAUUAUAUAAAUCAUUAGCAUUAAUUAGCGACGACGUCGACAACGACGACGGCAGGCGAAACUUUGUUGUCCCAGUCAGUCGGAGAGAUAUGGUUUUUCACACCUCGAGAUGGAAGAGAAAGUGUGGAGCUUGGUAAGCCGGCGAACCGGCUUCGCCAUGGUCUUGCUCUGUCUAGAGGUGAAGAAAGUUUCCAAAUGUAGAUUCUUAGAUAAGAGUGAAAGAAU